ACUAGGGGGCGGGGACAAGGGACAGAGCCAGGGCCUGGGCCCGGCGCGCGCGACAGCAGCGAGAGCGGAAACGCGCGCCGGCGGAGGAGCCUAUGGAAGCGACGAAGAUGGCUGGCGCCGCCGGGUAUCAAUGUUGGUGAAUAAAAAGAAACUACCAGGAUUUUCCUCCUUUUUCUUUGGAAAAUUUGUGUAAUUUUUUUCCCAUCUUCAUACACAGUCCCUCUUCUGCCCUUCUCAUCAAAAAUAAAUGGUAAUAUUUGCUUUCUGAAGAGCCUUUCAGACCAGCCUUGGUCUCAGUGGAGGAAGUGCAGGAGGCCAGCCACCACAGUGGUGAGAUGAAGUGAAUGAAUCUGGUUCCACCUCCGAGACUGGGCUUCUUCUGAACUGACUCACUUCACUAACUCAGCUCCUUUUUAUGCUCUUUUAGAGGUAUGAACUCAAAGGUUGACUCCUCCUCUGAGAGAAUGGGAUGUGGGUUUCUGACUUGUGAAUCUCAUACUGAAUACUGACUUGUGAAUCUCCCAAAAGUGUGAACUCCAAUGAGUACUUAAAUACAUUAGUGAGCUAGAGAAUUUGCUAAGUACCAUGCUAAAUUAG
rnacentral:lncRNA from 1 species